rnacentral:snRNA from 1 species
GUGCUUGCUUUGGGAAGCACUUAGACUGAAACUGGAACAAUAUGCAGAAGAUUAGCGUGUCUCCUCAAGGAUGACACCAAAAUAUGUUCCAUAUUUAA